CUACGGGCGGCUGCAGUGAGGAAUUUUGCGCAAUGGGGGUAACCCUGACGCAGCAACGCCGCGUGAGUGAUGAAGGCUUUCGGGUCGUAAAGCUCUGUCAAGUGGGAAGAAUAUACGAAAUGCUAAUACCAUUUUGUACUGACGGUACCACUGAAGGAAGCACCGGCUAACUCCGUGCCAGCAGCCGCGGUAAUACGGGGGGUGCAAGCGUUAUUCGGAAUUAUUGGGCGUAAAGCGCACGGAGGCGGCCGCUUAAGUCAGAUGUGAAAGCCCGGGGCUCAACCCCGGAAGUGCAUUUGAAACUAAGUGGCUUGAGUAUGGGAGAGGGAAGUGGAAUUCCUGGUGUAGAGGUGAAAUUCGUAGAUAUCAGGAGGAACACCGGUGGCGAAGGCGACUUCCUGGACCAAUACUGACGCUGAGGUGCGAAGGCGUGGGGAGCAAACAGGAUUAGAUACCCCAGUAGUC
rnacentral:rRNA from 1 species